AGUGGUGCUGUGAAUGGUUCUGGAGUCAACGCUCCAAGCCGUUCGGUGGCUCAUUAAUUCUCUAGAUGGAGUUUUCUAUUAAAGGACGUGUUUCUGAAGGGGAUCCAUCCCGAGGAGGCGGCUAAGUUGCCAGUAGUUUUCCAAGACAGCCGAAGGGCUGUGACUUUGGCAACACCCGCUGCCUGCAGUGUGCUCAGACUCUGAGGUUGGAAAUGGAGAACACAUCUUAGAGUUCCAUGCACAAGAUUCCCGUUUCCAGACUCACUGUCUGGCUGUCCUCAGAGCACUGUUGCCCAUUGCAGUGAGCAGAAGGGAGUGCUGGUUGGGUGCUGCUCUGACCAUGUAGUGCCACUGGUGUCCCUACAGCUGCAUGGCAGAGCACUGCAUCAGAAUCUGGCUUGCAAAACUUGA
rnacentral:lncRNA from 1 species